rnacentral:tRNA from 1 species
GUAGUCUGGCUCAGCGGUAGAAUGCAUGCCUAGCAUGUGUGAAGCACUGGGUUCAAUUCUCAGCAUGCUAUA